GAAAGGAUCACGCUGUCUACAUCCAGGUAUUGCCAUUACCAGUUGGCACCAGCUCUGCCCUGAGUCCAUUUUGAAAGUCAUAUUUUCAAAAACUUCAUCAAGAAUCUCAUCCUAUUUACUUGGGCAGGAAAGCCUAUUACUCCUAUCCUACAGGUUAUAGGAGAGUCAACUGGUACAAGUUUGAGAUCAGUAAUCAAAUCCAGCCACCAACUUGCAAAGAUUUGCUAUGUUCAAGUGAAGAAGACAUCAGAUGAGGAUGCUUUCUUGCUAUAUUUUUACAGCAAAUAACUUUUUGUACAAGCUGAAAUGGAGGAAUUAGUUGGUGGUAAAAGGGAUAGAUGAAGAAUGGAUAUCUCCUCCUGAAAGCAGGAUCCAGGAGAGGCAGCUGAGGUUUGUCUUGCCGUGAUCUUGACCCAACUGGCACAGUUCAGACCCAGGGCACCAGGAGCUGUGAGCUGCCAAUGAGCUUGUAUACAUGUACCUGACUAGAAGUGGAUGGAGUAGAUGAGCUUCCCUCCCAGAUGACACAGGGGAGAAUGGAAAUCUUUCAUCAUUCACCUGAGCACAGAAAGAUGCAUCCCACUGAUGAGCAAAUUAAAACUGAGAGAAAUGUCCGUGUUCACACAGCUAGCGAAUCACAGUUAUGUCUGGAAGAAAGGAAGGAAGGAAAUGAACGUUUAUGUGCCAGACACUGUGCUCAGGGCUUUAUAAAUAUUAUCUCAUUUGGUCCUCAACCCUGAAAGGACUUUUCUAACCUCAACAAGAUGACUAAUUAAGAGCCCACAUGCUGGAGAGACAUCAUCCCUAAUGAUUUCUGCAGUACUUGACUUAGCAAGCAGGAAGUUAACUGAAGAAGAUGCUAAUCAGAUUACUGAGAAUGAUAUAUAGAUAAUCCAAUACCUGUGGCUUUUGUUUUGUGCCCUGAGGACUCAAGAAGAUGGUAACCCUUUCUGUAAACUUAUUUAAGGAGAUCUUGCAGAGGUGGUGAAAUCAUACUGCCCAAAUAUUAGAUACAAGGGAAAGAGAUUAUAUUAAUAAUGUUAGAUGAUCUUGCAUGUUUUAUUAGUAAUUACAAUAAAAAUAUGCAGUCAUUGGCA
rnacentral:lncRNA from 1 species